rnacentral:rRNA from 1 species
AACGAACGCUGGCGGCAGGCCUAACACAUGCAAGUCGAGCGAUCCCAGCAAUGGGGGAGCGGCAGACGGGUGAGUAACACGUGGGAACGUACCCUUCGGUUCGGAAUAACUCAGGGAAACUUGAGCUAAUACCGGAUACGUCCGAGAGGAGAAAGAUUUAUCGCCGAAGGAUCGGCCCGCGUCUGAUUAGCUAGUUGGUGAGGUAAUGGCUCACCAAGGCGACAAUCAGUAGCNGGUCUGAGAGGAUGAUCAGCCACAUUGGGACUGAGACACGGCCCAAACUCCUACGGGAGGCAGCAGGUGGGGAAUAUUGGACAAUGGGCGCAAGCCUGAUCCAGCCAUUCCGCGUGCAGGAUGAAGGCCCUCGGGUUGUAAACUGCUUUUGUACGGAACGAAACGCGCUGAGUUAAUACCUCGGCGUAAUGACGGUACCGUAAGAAUAAGCACCGGCUAACUACGUGCCA